rnacentral:rRNA from 1 species
GCAGUAGCCGCGGUAAUACGAGGGGUGCAAGCGUUAUUCGGAUUGAUUGGGUGUAAAGGGUGUGCAGACGGCUUAUUAAGUCACUUGUUAAAUUCUUCGGCCUAACUGAAGGUCUGCAAGUGAUACUGAUGAGCUAGAGGGUGGAAGAGAGAAGUGGAAUUCUCGGAGUAGCGGUAAAAUGCGUAGAUCUCGAGAGGAACACCAAUGGCGAAGGCAGCUUCUUGGUCCAUUCCUGACGUUCAUACACGAAAGCGUGGGGAGCAAAUGGGAUUAGAUACCCGGGUAGUCCCUGUCUCUUAUAC